AGACAUCGAAACAAUUAUAUAUAUAGUACAAAUCAAUAGUAUUUCACUGAGAAGAUAUAUUUGCAUUGCUUUAAUUUAUCAGAAUGAGUUCCAACCCGAAAGACAUCUCGAAGAGUUUGGGCGAGACGAGGCAGUCUCAGCAGUCUGCAAACAACAAUGGUUCCAACUCUAAAAAUGGAAACAAGAAAAAGACUGCUCAAUCCAGCCUUGCCUAUAGCAAUAAAAAUAAUUGAAAUGCCAACAACUGCAUGCAAGGGGAAAAAGAUUCAAACAAGGUGAUCAUGUGGAAGUGGGAACUGUGUAUGAAGAACUUUUAGAGUAGCUGAGAUUGUUAUAGUCAUUAUUUGUUAAUUUCUUUAUAUUAAUUUGUUCGUUUCAUAUAAGCCUUUAUAAUUUACAAUUUUUAGAGCUAGUACGUAGUAAUAUCCCAUUUCCAUGUAAAUUUAUAAUAAAAUCUAAUAAAUCUGAAACUUUUAUAUGUUAUGUGCAAGCUCCUUGUGAAUAUAUGAAAGGAUCGGUAAUUCACAAA